rnacentral:lncRNA from 1 species
AUUCCAUGACCUGGCAACCCCGCUGGACUCGGCGCUCUGCGCUCAUUGGGCCGCCGGCGCUAUUGCAGAGGCGAUGCGUCUCCUCUGCUGAACCCGCUGUCACAUCGCGGGUCCGCGGGCGGCAGGUGGACGCACGCUUUAAAUCGCCCCCACGUUCGCGACAGGUGGAACAUGGGGACGCCCGCGGGCGGCGCGCAGCGUCCUUCGGAGAGUCUGUCGUCUUGCGUUGAAACGUUCGACGCCGGGGAUCGCGAGUCUCCAAGAUUCGUUGAGAUCUCUUUGUAAGACACCAGCACCUGAGGACAUCGCUGUCCUGGGGACAAUGCUGCAGCAGAACAACAACAACAACCACCCAUGCUUCCCGGCGGCCAGGGGCCACAAGGCGGUUCUCCAAGACUGCCGGAAAAACGGCGUUCCGUUCAUCAGCCAGCUCGAGUUCGGAGACAUGUCGCUAAUCAAGAGCCUGCGAGCGUGGGCCACCGGCGCCAAGGUCCGUGGCAAGGCUGCCCCUCACGUCACCAAGUCGUGCCAGCUCUCCCUGGACACUGCUCAGAGGGCCGGGCUGGAUCAAGGACAAAGCCCCGCCGUCGUGACAGCCCCGGGCUCCAGAGUCUCGGGGACGAGGCACGCGGGCCUGGGCGCGCUGGUCACCGUGGCAACGCUGAAGUCCUCCGAAGGUAGCCGGCAGACGCAGACGCGGUGCCUGCUGCUCAAGGCGGAGGGCCGCAGCUACGUGUGCGCCGUCGGCAGCCGCAGGAACUGCCCUGUGGGCCUGGUGGGCAGGGUCGGGGGGGCAAGAGGCCAUUCUGGUGCGUGUCAAAAUGAACAGGACGGCGGGGCGUCCCGGGUCAAACCCUGGUCUGUGCGGAAGGCACGGACGGCUAAAUGCCCGGGUGGGGAGUGUUCUGUACCCCCGAAUGUGGGUGAGGGCCUGGAAGAUGAGGCUAAGCGGAACUUGGUGAGCACAAAGCUGGAUGCAAAGGGACGAAAGACACCAAGGGGGAUGAUGCGAAGAGGGAAAGGCAGGACAAAGGAUGGGCGUGGUCCAGUUAGAACCGUGUCUGCACCGGUCCGAUUAAAUAACGGUACAGCACACGAUGCAGUAAUCUCUCCCAGUGGUGAACCUGCGAACGUCAAAUCCAGCCAGGAAGCUGAGAAACCAGAUGUCCCGCAGAGAUCUUUCACAAUCCCCAGUCCCAGAGGAAACCAUUUUGAAGGACCUACAGAACCCGAGAGAGACGCCGUCCACGGCAGCAGCCCGGAUGUGAUGCUAGAGGAUCGCAGUGAUGACAGACGCGGUACAGAAGAAGGUGACAAAUGGUCUUCAGACCUGCCAGAUUCAGUUGGGGUACAAGGACACUGUUGCACUGAAAUGACCACACACUGCUGUUCUAAAGACUCUGACACAGGUGCCAAAGCCAAUCUUCGUCACCCUGAGGCCUUCCGUAAAGCAGACAAGGAGACAGAGGGUCACAGUGAGACAUCUAAUUUCGAGGGACAUCUCAGUGUCUUGCACUCUAACAAUAAAGGGAAGCCCCAUUCAGUCCAUGAGGUGAAAAAGCAAGUUCCACUGCAGAUGCCUGUUUGUGCUGGAAAGGAUCAUGGGAGUGCUGGACAGUCCACGGAGGAGACACUCGCAACCUGCAAGGGACAUGAUGAAGAACUCCGGGUCCCGCCGGGUGUUAAUAAUUCCCCGAAUCCAGGUCCUACAGCAGGUACUGCUGUUUCCAACGCUGCUGUCCCCACCGCUCACCCUAAUCCUGCCCCUCUGGGAGCCAUGGCAACGCCCCUCCUGGGCCCGGGUCGGGCGAGAGAGCGGUCCAGAGUGGGACAACUCCAGCCAAAGACGGGACACGACAAGGCCAAGGUGGCCACCGAUAGCCAGACCGCCGAGGAGGGAGGACAGGAAGGAGAGGAUGAGUUUGGAGGCUUUAUGCAGGCUGGUGAGAACCUUCUCUGGGAGGACCGCCAAGUGCCUUGUUCCACGCUGGAGGACAGUGCACUCAGUAACCCGGCGCAUGGGAGCAGUCCUGCAUCCUGGGCUGCUGAUUGGACAGUUGGCCCAACUCAAGCGACAAGCGACAUUUGGACCGCUUUCACACCGGAGGUGGGCGAUCCUGGUGACAGGCAGGAGAUGACAUCGGAGGGACAGUGGUGGCCCUGGGAUGCUGUGGACAAUGCAGUACCCAGGCUAUUUCUGCAAGCCUUCCCACCAUUGCCAGCCAUGACCUCUGACCCAGAUGGAAUCCCAACACUGCAUCAGCUCCUGCGGACAGGCACAGAGCAGAAGAGGACUGCAAAGGAGUAUGGACAAGCAAGCUUACUGGAUGGAUUCCAAGACUUGAACAUGAUGAUAUGCUUAAAGUAUAAGCGACUGGAAUCCUUGUCCCAGAAACUUUUACUCCAGUCACUGCAUUUAGACCAGCAUGACUCAGCACCUUUCAUGGAUGUUCGUCAGGAUCAUGAUUCCUCGACUAGACCUUAUCCAAACUCUUCCAGUGGGAAAAGGAGAUUAUCACAUGAUCAUUUCAACAGGAACGUUUUUCUUUGACAUUUUCAUUCUGGCUUGCAAGGCCACUGCAACCAAAACAUCAUGUGGGCUCGGCUUUCUGAAGAAACAAACUGGGACUUGGGGAUAUUUUAAGUUCGGAUGGCCUGAAACGCUUUUUUUUUUUGCAACAAACGCCCUCAUUGUUCGUUUGAAGCGCAACACGUGGGACGUUUAGGGCAAGUAAACAUGUCUGUGGUGCUGGUGAGAAUACUCCAGGUAUCGGGGUUGAGCACAAGGAAUGUUUGCUCCUCCAGACGUCGUGUCCCACAUGCAGAUGUCAGCCUUGUCCUUUGUGGUUUUUGACUGAACAAACUUCGCUGUCUGUGUUUCCGGGCUGGGUGAAACUAAUUCGUUAUUUUCACACAUCUAGUCGCACCAAAAGCAAAUGAUAUGUUCGUGAUGGUUUGUGUUUAUUUUGUGUCAUAUUUUGUGCACCAGGAAGAAAUCACGGUUGUGUUUGUGCUAUUAAUGUUUCCUUUGUGUUAGCAAUCUUCAAGUAUUUGGCCACUGCUCCUCGGGAAAAAUACACUUUUAAUGAUUUGGUGAUGACAAAAGAAAAUAGUGAUUUCUUGCUCUAUAUUCCAGGCAGUAGUGCCACUGAGUUGCUGAAAUUUUAAUAAAGAAACUAAUAAAGAAGCUUGUUGUUGAUGU